UGGGGAAUAUUGCACAAUGGGGGAAACCCUGAUGCAGCGACGCCGCGUGAGCGAAGAAGGCUUUCGAGUCGUAAAGCUCUGUCCUAUGAGAAGAUAAUGACGGUAUCAUAGGAGGAAGCCCUGGCUAAAUACGUGCCAGCAGCCGCGGUAAUACGUAUGGGGCGAGCGUUGUCUGGAAUGAUUGGGCGUAAAGGGUACGUAGGCGGUUUUUUAAGUCAGGUGUCAAAGCGUGGAGCUUAACUCCAUUAAGCACUUGAAACUGAAAGACUUGAGUGAAGGAGAGGAAAGUGGAAUUCCUAGUGUAGCGGUGAAAUGCGUAGAUAUUAGGAGGAAUACCGGUGGCGAAGGCGACUGUCUGGACUUUUACUGACGCUCAGGUACGAAAGCGUGGGGAGCAAACAGG
rnacentral:rRNA from 1 species